rnacentral:miRNA from 1 species
AGUCAAAUCUAAACGAUCGUGUAU